UACGUAGGGGGCGAGCGUUUUCCGGAUUUAUUGGGCGUAAAGAGCGUGUAGGCGGCCAGGUAGGUCUGCUGUGAAAACUCGAGGCUCAACCUCGAGACGUCGGCGGAAACCAUCUGGCUAGAGUCCGGAAGAGGAGAGUGGAAUUCCUGGUGUAGCGGUGAAAUGCGCAGAUAUCAGGAAGAACACCCGUGGCGAAGGCGGCUCUCUGGGACGGUACUGACGCUGAGACGCGAAAGCGUGGGGAGCGAACAGG
rnacentral:rRNA from 1 species